CUACGGGGCGCAGCAGUGGGGAAUAUUGCACAAUGGGCGCAAGCCUGAUGCAGCCAUGCCGCGUGUAUGAAGAAGGCCUUCGGGUUGUAAAGCACUUUCAGCGGGGAGGAAGGGAGUAAAGUUAAUACCUUUGCUCAUUGACGUUACCCGCAGAAGAAGCACCGGCGAACUCCGUGCCAGCAGCCGCGGUAAUACGGAGGGUGCAAGCGUUAAUCGGAAUUACUGGGCGUAAAGCGCACGCAGGCGGUUUGUUAAGUCAGAUGUGAAAUCCCCGGGCUCAACCUGGGAACUGCAUCUGAUACUGGCAAGCUUGAGUCUCGUAGAGGGGGGUAGAAUUCCAGGUGUAGCGGUGAAAUGCGUAGAGAUCUGGAGGAAUACCGGUGGCGAAGGCGGCCCCCUGGACGAAGACUGACGCUCAGGUGCGAAAGCGUGGGGAGCAAACAGGAUUAGAUACCCCCGUAGUC
rnacentral:rRNA from 1 species